rfam:Citrus sinensis cultivar Ridge Pineapple sweet orange scaffold00095_contig_3, whole genome shotgun sequence.
GAGUGUAGUCAUACCAACACUAAUGCACCAAACCUCGCAGUUAAACGUGUUUGGACGAUUGCAAUACUAAGAUUAAUGACUUCUUAAAAAGUUCUCGCACCUCUCUUU